GAUGAACGCUGGCGGCGUGCCUAAUACAUGCAAGUCGAGCGAACGGACGAGAAGCUUGCUUCUCUGAUGAUAGCGGCGGACGGGUGAGUAACACGUGGAUAACCUACCUAUAAGACUGGGAAAACUUCGGGAAACCGGAGCUAAUACCGGGUAAUAUUUUGAACCGCAUGGUUCAAAAGUAAAAGACGGUCUUGCUGUCACUUAUAGAUGGAUCCGCGCUGCAUUAGCUAGUUGGUAAGGUAACGGCUUACCAAGGCAACAAUGCAUAGCCGACCUGAGAGGCUGGUCGGCCACAGUAGACCGGAGACACGGUCGAGAGGCCUAGGGGAGGAAGAAGUCGGGAAUAUUCUGUAAUGGGCGAAAGCCUGACGGAGCAACGCCGCGUGGGUGACGAAGGUCUUCGGAGCGUAAAACUCUGUUACUAGGGAAGAACAUAUGUGUAAGUAACUGUGCACAUCUUGACGGUACCUAAUCAGAAAGCAACGGCUAACUACGUG
rnacentral:rRNA from 1 species